rnacentral:rRNA from 1 species
UACGGAGGGUGCAAGCGUUGCUCGGAAUUAUUGGGCGUAAAGGGCAGGUAGGUGGUCUCAUUUGUCUGGGGUGAAAGCCUUGAGCUUAACUCAAGAAGUGCCCCAGAAACGGUGAGACUGGAGUCCUGGAGAGGGUCGUGGAAUUCCCGGUGUAGCGGUGAAAUGCGUAGAGAUCCGGAGGAACACCAGCGGCGAAGGCGGCAUCCUGGACUGGUCCUGACACUCAUGAGCGAAAGCGUGGGGAGCGAUCCGG